UUUGUGCCCUAUCAAUAUCGUAAACAAUCUCAUAAAUCUGAUUACUCUGGCAAAUAUCAGUUGAUGUUAAUAAACUGUGUUCUUUGUUUCAGUUUGCUCUAGGUGCUGUAAAUUCAGAGGUUCUUCUUGGAAGGUAUGAGCUUUAAAAUAUUUACAUGAUUUUCAUAUGCAGUAAUGUGCUGUUUUUCAGGCCUGGUGUGUGGGAAAAUGGUGGUCAAGUGUAGCAAAAUUAUUUCCUCAUCAAACUAUUCAUUUCAUAUGGUUAAUGGAAUUAUUCAAGAUCGGAUCAAGAGAAAGCUUAUAUAAAUAACAUAUGAAACAACUAGCUCAAGUUCUUGGAAGUGAGGAAGAGGCUAAGAAGAAGAUAUACUCUGUUUCCACUACUUGGCGCCCUCAUUUCCGAAGAGCUUUCUUACAAAGUUAAAGCAUUUUUGAUAUCACAAUUGCUUUGUAUUUAAAAGACUCCUCAACACUCUUAUUUCUUGAUGAACCAACAAGUGGACUUGACAGUGCUGCCUCUUACUAUGUCAUGAAAAGAAUUAAAUCCUUUGAUCAUAAAGAUGCCAUUCAAAGGACAGUUAUUGCAUCAAUCCAUCAGCCUAGUGCUGAAGUUUUUCAAUUCUUUGAUAAUCUC